rnacentral:lncRNA from 1 species
CAGGAAACAGAAACUAAUGUUGAAGCCGGCACCAUGAGGAAUCCAUUCUGAUGGGGGUAGUGGUGUCCACAUCCAGUGCCUGCGAUGUACAGAGCUGCAGUUUCCACACUUCGCAGUCGUGACUUUUCUAUGUCAGGAAUUUGGGAGCUGCUUGGCUGGGCAGCAAUUCUGGCUCAAGGUCUUUCAUGCGAUUGCAGUCAAGAUGUCUACCAGGGCUACAGUCAUCUGAAGGCUUGGCUGGGGCUGGAGGAUCUGCUUCCAAGAAUUGGGUGGAUCAUCAGAUCCUGAGAACAGCAGACGGGGCGUGAGGCUGAGGACCAGGUAUGAAAGAGUUAUUGAUCCCACCAAAAUUCAAAUAUGAUUGUCAGGAAGUAUUCUAGUUGAAGAAAAAAAAUUAAACCAAAGCAAAGAAGAAUGAAAGAAGUUUAAAAAUCUCAAAAAGUCUUUUGUUAUCUCAUAGUAAAAGUUCUGAUGGUCUAAAUCAUGAAGACAAGGAAAAGAAUCAGGAUAUCCAAGAAAAUAUGAAACAUGCAAAUGCAGCAACAUUGAAAAAGAAAAUAAUGAGAAUGAGCAAAUUUUUAAAUAGGAACUUAAAAAUUGAUUUGAGGAAUAAAGAAAAACACAACUUAUAUGAAGAUCAGUGACAACCUGGUUAAUGAGAAUUGUCAACAUAAAGAGCAUUUAAGAUUAGGAACUGGGGUCAGCCCCAUGGCCAAGUGGUUAAGUUCGUGUGCUCCCCUUCAGCGGUGGGGGUUCGCCAGACUGGCUCCUGAGUGGGGACCUACAUACCGCUCAUCAGGCCGUGCUGUGGCAGCAUCCCACAUAGAAUAACAAGAAGGACCUACAACUAGGAUAUACAACUGUAUACUGGGGCUUUGGGGAGAAAAAAAAUAGAGGAAGAUUGGCAACAGAUGUUCGCUUAGGACCAAUCUUCCUCAAAAAAAAAAAAAAAAAGAUUAGGAACUAAACAAGAAAACAUGACCUUUCUUGAAAUCGAAUGACUCAUUUAUGAAAUCAGAAGCUUGAUAGAAGUUUUCUCAAAUUCUAUAAAAAUCCUAAACAUUUACGUGUUAUUAGCAAUAAAGCUUUGUGAAGCUACAAGAUUCCUGUCUAUAGAGCUAAUAGAAAAAACAAAUUCUGAUCAACCAUUUGAGAAAAAAGUGAAUUAUCUUUCUAUCUUUUCUAUAAGAACGAUAUUACAAAAUUAUCGUCAUAUGAAAAGCAAACCAAAAGUGUAUAUAGCCAAAAAUACAGUGAAAAAGGAAUAAUUCAGAAACGGGUCAGACUAAUCAAUAAAAAAUAGCCCAUUUUUCUGGAUUUUGUAAUAUUUGUGAUAUUUGUUGCUUUUUUAAAAAAGUAAACUUGUGGUUCUUUUUUAUUCUGAAUGAAUAUUGACUUUCACAUUGAAUAUUACAUUUGUAUUAUUUUUCUUAAGGGGGGGGGCCUCAAAACUAUACAUGCUUCAGUGUCCACCACCACGCAUCUAAGAGAUUUGAAUAGACAUGGAAAUUUGAAUACGUGUAAAUGAUAGCAAUUCUGUUUUAUAGAUGCAGGACUUAUUCUCUCAAAAGAGUAAAAAAAUGCUCCCUAGCACUAUGAUUCAUAAAAGCAUCAUUUAAAAAUUAAAAUUGUGUUCCUAAAUCUCAAAUUCUCUAAUUGUGAUUGUUUGAAAAGGUGCCUCCAAUCAAACAAUUAAAAAGUGCUUGAUUUUAAAAAAUGAGACAGCUGUUGGAAAUAUACAAAGAACUUGAGUUAAUAUUUUUUUCCUGAAUAAUUAUGUAUGUAGUUAAAAUAUAUAUGAAUUAAACUGCUCUGAUCAAGAGCUAUAUUCUCCAGCAUAGUCAUAGUCUCAAAUUCUAAUUUAAUUUUCAGUUUGAUAAAAACAGGACACAGGCCAAAUCAUAAAUAAGUGGCUUAAUUACCAUAAGUAUUUUUUUUAAAGGUGGCAGUUUGACAUUUUGCCUAAUAGCGAAAGCCCUGAUAGUACAACCAUAAAGAGGAGGUUAUUCAAACCAAUCUUACCCCCCCACCCUGCUCCUCUUUAGUUUGCACAAUGUUUUAAACGUACUUAGUGUUACUAAAUUGUAUAGUUAAAAUGGUCAAAAUGGUAAAUUUUAUGUUAUGUAUAUUAACCACAAAAAUUUACAAAUAGAAGUAAAUACUUCAUUUUUAAAAGCUUUAGAAGUUUUGCCAACUUUUUCGUUAUUUGGAAAAAACAUUCAUAAGUCAACAUCACAGAUGUUGCCAUGCUCAAUGUGCUUUAUGACAUAAAAUCCAUCAUCUUUUUGGUGGACAUAAACCAUAAUCGCUAGGCAUAAGCCAUAAUGGCUAGGACGGCCAGUCAAGGAAGUUGAAUUUGUGGCUGCUUCCUGCUUCCUUCCUACUUGUAGCCUUAGUAAAUGGCGGUCUUUGUCUGAACUUGGGCUCUGUAGUCCUGUUCUCCCCCAUGCUUUGUCUCCAUUACUUCUAUGGCACCGGUGUCUGCUUCUAUUGCUCUUACUAAUUGUAGCCCCUUUGUUGCAUUCACAUUCCCAAGAAGAGUCAUAUGAUCAGUGUUAGUCCUCAUCCAAAACAGUUUCUCCAACUGGCAGAGUUCUUAGAAAUUACUGGGCCAGGUCCUCUUUGGGUCAGGCAUUGAUCUAUGCAUGAUCCAAUAUGUUUUGGCCAGGUUUCCAGGGGCAUGUGACACAAAGCAUGGCAAUAAUUAUGCAAAAACUGGUUCAGGCUACUUAAUUUAGCAUCACACAACCACUUUUAAGGGGUUAAUGUAGUAUGGAUUGGAUACACAGAUACAUUGCAUGCAUUGAACCUUUGUAUCAGCCAAAGCGGAAUUAAGGCUAUCACCACAUACGUGCCUAGGCAGACUGCAUUGUGAAAUAAUGCACUAACUGAAGUAGUCUCUCAAAAUCCACUGGGCUGGAAGGCAGAGUGGUCUACUACAUUGGCUUCAGAUUAGUAACAAAACUAAAGGUUUAGAGAACAGGGGCAGAUUGUGGCCUGUUGCAUAUUUGUGAGAUCUCAUCUGUCAUAGUUACUGUAUCUUAUCCUUAAUAUAUUUCAUCACCAUCAAUUGAAGCCAAACUUUAUCUAAAAUGACCAGAUAAUAUCACCACUACCGAGAUCCUGGACCACAGCCAGCCUUCUGGCAUUUCAGUGAUUCGUGAAGCAACCCAACACCACUGUGAACAGGAUGUUGAAGCAGCUGUUGCAGUAAGCUGAAAGGGGGCAUUUGCAACCAUUGAGCAGAAGAAACACAUAGCAAAUUGUGCAAACCAAGUUCAAGUAAUGCAAUAAUGUCUUGAACAAAAUAUAAUCUUCUAGAGCUUACUUGUAUAAGCUAAGGCAGACUUGGAAAUAUAGUAGUCAUUUCUCAAUAAAAAAUUCUCCCUUGGUAAAACUUGAGAAUUUGUUAAUUUAUUUAUGUAUACAUUUCUGUCAAUUACCUAAUUUGACAUUCUAGCAUAUGUGAUUUUUCACUCUUGUUGAUAAUUAAAGAAGAAAAGAACACUUCAAAUAGUAGAAAAAGAACACUUUCUUUUGCAGUCAAGACUCAGAAAAGAUAAAGAAUGUUAAAAGGAAGAAAACUUAGUCCUUAGAAGAGGCAUGAGUGAUCCAGGUUACAUACAAAAAAAGGCUGAUGGAGACGAACUGAGGAUAUGGGGACACGGAAGCAGAGAUGAAGGGAUUGGCAUGCGGAUGUCAGCAUCUCCAAGCCGUCAAACCAGAAAGGCCUUAAGCAUUUAGAUAAAGAAACACAAAUGUCUUCUCAGUGUGAGAUGGCAAAUGCAUUAAACGAUGAAUGACACUGGCCUUUCUCUUCUGCCUUGUCUACUAAAAUAAAUCUGGCUUCGUCUAGUCAGUUUUUACUUCUCUACAAAAAAGGUCCUGUCAUGUUCGACUUAUCUUUGGGGCUAUCAUCAUGCACUAUUAGAAGAAGGAAUGUGCACAGAGAGAGAAGAAUUUGAGUUCUGGAGUGGUUUGAGGUCUAAACUUUCAUGAAGUUUUACAGAAGAAUUUUGGAGGGACAGGCACAGAAGUUUACUAUAUGAGAGAGAAGCUGGUGAGAGAGGGAAGGAGAAUUUUAAGCAUUGCAGUAGAUAUAUGCUUCCUUCAUGAACUUUAGGAAAUACUUACAAAGAGCUUAAACUAUUUUAAAAUGAUUUUCUUUGAUUGCAUUCUGACUGCAUUGCUGAUCUGAGCCUAGACUGUGCACUAUGACUCUAUAAACAGUACAUUAGCUUGUUGAUAAUCCUCGAUUUAAUCCAACUGCUGUGCAUAUAUCGUGUUGAAGCUGUAGUGAAGGGAGGGAGCCUUGCUAGUGAUUUAGAUAGUACAUCAAAAACAAUAUAUAAAACAAAUUAUUGCUUGCUUUCAUUAAUUGUCAUUGAUCUCAUCCUGAAUGAUAAUAGUUUCUAUUCUGCUUUGUGUAGUGAACAUAAAAGUAUAACAGCUUUGGGGGCCGGCAGAGUGCUAAAGUUUGUGCGCUCCGCUUCGGGGGCCCGGGGUUUUGUGGGUUCGGAUCCUGGGCACGGACAUGGCACCACUCAUCAGUCCAUGUUGAGGCAGCAUCCCACAUGCCACAAGUAGAAGGACCCACAACUAGAAUAUACAACUGUGUACCGGAGGGGCUUUGGGGAGGAAAAGGAAAAAUAAAAUCUAAAAGAAAAAAAGAGUAUAACAGUUUUAAUUGGUUAUUUCUGACUUUAGUUACCCUAUUUUAUUUUUCUCAACUACAAAUUCUCCUACACAGAAAUUUUCAAAGACAUGACCUCUAAGUUAGGGAGGUACAAUUAUAGUUUGGGAAAUAUUACUUUUCACAAAUUUUAUUGUUCACCUCAACCAUACAGUUUCAUGUCUCCCUCCACACAUAGAUGUCAGACGCACAGACACAUCAACAUAUAAAUAGCCAAACAUUAUACAGGUAUGCUCACCCACCCUAAUUCCACCCUCCCUCUCUUCCCCGUCUAUCUGUCUCUGUUUUUCUCUGUCUUACACGUGCACUUUAUUGGCACAGCUAAAAAGGUGGCAAUAAGAAAGAUUAAUACUCAUUUCCCUUGGCCAAAGCCACAGAGUUGAUGGCGGUUCUUUAAUCCUCACAGUUUUAGCCAUUAG